GCGAGCGCGGAGAUGGCGGAGGGCGCCGGCGCUGGGGCGGCUGCAGCCGAGCUGCCGGACGCCGGCCCCGGCGCGGACAGCGGGAAUGUGUCCCAGAGCCAAAGCAGAGCCUCCGGCCUCGGGGAGGCGGAGGACGAGGACGCCUCGGAGGCGUCGCUCAGCGCCACCGCCGCCGCCUACUCGGCGUGCCUGCUCGCCGACCGCAGCCUCUUCAGCGAGCAGAUAGAGAGCUUAGACAAGAGUCUGGAAGACUUACUGACCAGGGUGGAUGAAUUCGUGGGAAUGCUGGAUAUGAUUCGAAGUGAUUCCUCUCAAGUUGUCAAUGAAAGUAUACCUCAAAUUUACACAAAAGCUACAGAAAUGAGGCAGAUAUAUAGGAAGAUUGACAAACUAGAGGCUUUUGUGAAAAUGGUUGGGAAUAGUGUAGCUGGACUGGAAGAACGGGUCACAAAGGCAGAAACAGACCUUGGAGCUUUUCCCAGCACGUUCAAGAAAAUCUUGCACACAAUCAGCAUGCCAUCCUUCCUUAAUAAAUCGUCUUCCUCACGACAGCAGCAGACCCUCUAUGAACCUCCAGUCCUCUUCAAGACAGAAGACUAUUUUCCGUGUCUUAAUGAAGCACCUUAUUGAUGGUUUUUGCUUUGGGAUUGAUAUGAAUCAGCCAGAAUAGAGAGAGCCAAGUGAACAAAAGGAGUACCAACCUCAGAACAGCUGCAUUUUCUAAGCACUAUUAAUGGCAUAUUGCCAUUCUGAUUCUCAUUGUCUUCCUUCAGGCAAUAUUUUCAGGUGACACUGUCAGGAGUUUCUUUACAAGCAAGAGGUCUAGAAAAGCAACCUUUAAGAAAAAACAAAAGCAGAAAUUUCCACAAUCCUAGGACAUUAAAACUGUGGACUGGCACUAAAUAUGACAGAAGCACCUGAGAACUGCAGACUGGCAAUAAAGCUGGUUCUGUUUGAUUCAUAAAAAUUAAAAAAGAAAAAAGUAAAAAGGAAUAGUAAGAGUCUUAUGUACGAAUGGAAGAGGAAGAAAAUAGCAUAUCCAGGAGGUAAACCAGGACAUGUGCCAAGGUGUGAAAUUGUGGUGACAGAGCUGUGAGUAUCAACAGAGGAGGGCAAGAUCCCUCAACUGGCAGAACAGUGGUCCUGGUAAAAUGGUGUUUAAACUCAACCUGAGGUACUGUGCUGAAGCAGAGAGCCCAUGAAGCAUGCUCCAGAUACUGUUCAGCCCACUGCAGCCUUGGAGGAGAGAGUGUGUAGGAAGAAGUUGAAGUGAAUGACUAUUCUGCAAUCACAGUCUGCUGUUUUCUGUGUGAGAGUUUUGUGGAUGUGCCCAUCUGAUAACAGCAUAGUGCUUAGAAAAGAGAUUUAGCCAUAUAUGGCUGGCUGGUGGAGGGUCCUGGAGGAAUAUUGAAGGCUGUCAGCACACGGCUGUGAAGACCAAGCUGGAUGAGACAGCAGGCAGCAGCAGCAGCAACAGCACAAUCCCAGCUGAGCCCAGAAAUCCACACUGCCACUUCCAACACUGGCUUUGCCAGGUCCACAGCCCUAGGGCAACCUGUGGGGCACCACAGGAGUGCCUGUGGCUACCCAGGGCUGGUCACAUGGGGCAAGCUGGGGCACCAAAGAAAGAAAAAGAGGUGCAGGAAGCUUCCAGAAGAGGCAAGAAACAAAGAAGGGAAAUAUCUGGUGGCACCAGAGGAGGUUAUGAGACUCUGUGCAUUAGAGUCAGUCACAUCAAGGUAAAGAGAAGUGUCUGAUGUGGGCAGAUGAAACGGAUUUGCUUUGUUAGGAGAAAAGGGAAGAUGGAACAGAAUGUAGAAUGUUUUGUCCUCUGAAUAGCCCAGUUAGUUUGACACAAAAAUUUCAGCCACAGAUUUUCAGGAUGUAGAUGAAAUAGCUCUACUGCUAAUGAGUUAUCACUAACUUCUUGAUUGUAAUGAUUCAUGCACUUCCUUUCAAAUUCCAUUUUUCCUUCUCAUUUGCUCUAUAGCCUAUUUCCAGAAAGAACAUCUAUUACACCAGUCUUUACUAGGUAAGUGUUACUUUUCUUAGCCAGUUGUUUCUGUUCUGCUUUCCUUUUAACAGGAACAUGAAACAAUUAAAAAUUAGUCAGUCCACAUUGUACCUUUUUUUGCUCUUUUUCCAGAAACAUUGAGUAGAUGUGGCCAUAGGAGGCAACUCCUCUGCAUAGGGCAUUUCUGUAGCUGUAAUGUAGUUUCCAAUGUCUACUAUUAGCUAAUACCCAUGUCAUCCUAAUAUUUUCUCUGUGUAAAAGAAUCAUGUUUUGGAGGUGCUUUGACACAUCAUAAAGGAAAUGGAAAAUCCUGUUUGUUACCAUUUACAUUUGCCUGAAACUGGUAAGAGGAUAUUAAUGGCUUACAGCUUGAAAAUUAUCACUAGCAAUGGCUUUUAUUUAAUCACUCCUAUUAUUUUCAAAGGCUUGUUUGAAUUCUUAAUUAUUAGUGUACAUACCUCCUCUAAAUUUCCAUCUGAUAAUAUUCUUUAGUAAUAUUCUUUAGUGUGGAACUUUCAGGUGAUGUUAAAAUAAUAAAAGAGCCCAGCUCCCUCCUUCCUCUUUGCUUUUGUAUGUCUCAGCUUACACUGCUUUCCAGUCUUUGAUGAGUCAUUACAUUUACUUUGUACUGAUACUUUUUAUGUUUCAGGCUGGAGCAUUGAUUUUGGUUUCCUUGUUUUCUGAUCAGAAAUUUUUUUUCCCCCUGUAGAUAUCACUGGAUUUCUGUCAGAUCAGAGAAACCCUCUUUUCUAAGCUGUGAUCUCACAGGAUAUGUUAUGCAGCAGCGGUCGCAAGCGAAUGAAGAAGUUGAGCUGAAACUGCGAACACUUCAUCCCGGCACUGAGCGGCAAAACUCAGUCAAGAGAGGAGGAAGCAGGU